rnacentral:rRNA from 1 species
GUGAAGCUGGAUUCGCUAGUAAUCGCGCAUCAGCCAUGGCGCGGUGAAUACGUUCCCGGGCCUUGUACACACCGCCCGUCAAGCCAUGGAAGCCGGGGGUGCCUGAAGUGUGCAGCCGCAAGGAGCGCUCUAAGGUAAAACCGGUGACUGGGGCUAAGUCGUAACAAGGUACC